rnacentral:rRNA from 1 species
UACAGAGGUCCCAAGCGUUACUGAGAAUCACUGGGUUUAAAGGGUGCGUAGGUGGUCCGUUAAGUCAGUUGUGAAAUCCCCGGGCUCAACCCGGGAACUGCUUCUGAUACUGGCGGACUUGAGGCCAGUAGGGGUCACUAGAACUGACGGUGGAGCGGUGAAAUGCGUAGAUAUCAGGAGGAACACCGGUGGCGAAGGCGGGUCUCUGGGCCGAUACUGACGCUGAGGAGCGAAAGCGUGGGGAGCAAAUGGG